rnacentral:lncRNA from 1 species
GAAUUGUUACAUCAAUUAUUUAUUACAAUUUUGAUACAUUGAUCUUUUCAUCUCUAUACCCCUAGGAUAUGUCGACUCGGGGUACGGCUAACUCUGGUCUCUGUGGUAGGGCGCUAUCUACGGAGCUACGCCCUUUCCUCGCGCCGUCACGCCGCUCACGUGUGAACCUGUAACACCCCGAAAGCAACGUGGGGUGAGAACUAACUCCAUAGUUUCCAGUGGGUACGGCCACCCAAGGGAAAAGCUCGACCGACAGGUCCGAAGGAGGCAAGCUGCAGGUUAGUUCAAUAAACAGAUAGAUAUGAUAAUAAGAUUAUGCAACUAACAAUACCAUGCAUUGCCUCGCGAUAUGCAAUAUGAAGAUCAUCCAAUAAUGCAACUAUACAACAAACUAGUAAUUCAAUCGAUUACUAUUUUCAUCCAAUUGGCAUUUAAGGUUUUCAGCCCUUUACCGUUUUUGUCAUAAAGUUUCAUCUACCUUUACAAAGCUAACCGCCCGACUCGGUCUUGAGUCAAUCGUUUGCGGAGUACCGCACAAAGCCAGGCUCGAGGCGAAGGACGUCUCAUGUCACGCCCCGAGACCGAUGCCAAUUUGGCCCGACCCGAGCACGUCAAACAGACGCCGAACGGACAGAGUUUCCCCUAUCCGCCCAAGGCUCAUCACAUGUACAUUUUCAAUAAGAAGUGCACUAGCGGAAACAUACACAAACGGCUUACACGAG